UACAGAGGUCUCAAGCGUUGUUCGGAUUCAUUGGGCGUAAAGGGCGCGUCGGCGGUUCGUUAAGUCCUGUGUGAAAUCCCCCGGCUCAACUGGGGAACUGCACAGGAAACUAGCGGGCUUGAGUUCGGGAGAGGGAAGCGGAAUUCCGGGUGUAGCGGUGAAAUGCGUAGAUAUCCGGAGGAACACCGGUGGCGAAGGCGGCUUCCUGGACCGACACUGACGCUGAGGCGCGAAAGCUAGGGGAGCAAACGGG
rnacentral:rRNA from 1 species